GGGUGGUACUAAUGUGUAUAUAAGAACAAUAAACCCACAGCUCUGGCUGUUCACUGCUUGACCCUCAACACGGAGCUUUGUCUCGUUCUUGGGGGGAUUUACUGUAUGCUGUUCCAGUUUGACUGCUAGGAAUGUAAACCUAUUCGGAUGGGUUUUCCUAUUCGGCUGUUUACAGCAUUCAUAUGGUUUCCUGUUCGGCGGAUUGGUGUUCUGCAGUAGCUGUGCCUGUGUCUCUAGAAGGGAAGAUCUACUAAACUGCGGUUUAACCCUUUUAUGCCUGGGGAUGCCGUAACAGGGACGAUCGCUUAAACGGUUUUAACCCCUUGUGUGCAAAACGGUCCGUUACACUGGCUACUUAAUCCACC